AUUGAGGGGAAGUUUAUCUUUCAACAUGGUUGUAGCUGGUUGUAGUAAAAAUUUAUUAAUCUUGCAUAUAAUUUUUAUGCAUUUAUUCUGACUUCGAAUCAUCAUUCGAUACUUUCUCUCUCGUUUGAUUUUUGGAGACACCACUCUUAGAGGAAGUCCGCAGCUACAUGACUAAAGAAAACAAGAAAUUUAAUAAGCAAAGUGCUGUGACAUAAUAGAGAAUAAAAUGACAAAUACGUUUGUUGUGUGCAAAAAACAAUCUAUUCCGUUUAAUACAUCUCGAAGUUUUCACAAAUUUUCUGUUAAUGUUGAAAUGAAAAAGAAAUGGAUGGAAGCUAUUGGUGUGACAACGGUUUGUAAGACACCCGCAUAUGUAGCGACCACUUCCAUGAAGAUUCAUUUCAUCAGACUGAUGGAUACACAACUUUGAGACGUUUAGUAUCAACUGCUGUCUCUUUUAAUCGAAACGGUCAAUUAUCUUCACCAAUCAACAACGUACCUACUUAAAUACUUGAUGACAUAACGAAUCAUCAAGAUACGACAAUAAGUGUCGAAAAUACAUUUUCAACAAAUACGAAUACUAGUGGCUUUGAGACACAUAAUCAUUUAAGUCCCAGAAAUGGUAUUAAAAGAAAAUUAUCUGUCGUCGACAUUCACCCAACAAAAUUUCGUUUUAUGGUCGGAACUCAGUCAGAGUCUUUUUCAAGAAAGCACUUUGCUUCAGAUGAAGCUUGGGAGCGAUUUGUAAGAGUUAUGGCUACUGAAAAAUCUAAAAAAUCUGCUAUCCAUAUGAAGUUAACUA
rnacentral:lncRNA from 13 species